GGUUCCGGUAGCCGCUAAUCCAGCGGAAUGGCACAGGGCAUCAAUCAUUGAAGGUUAUGUGUUACGUCCUAUCCGUCCUUUUCGGUUCGCCAAAAUUGGCCCCUUACUAUCGGCAUCGUGUCAUACCAGAUGAUUUCACCCUGGUAAACCAAAAUAGCGUUGGAAAGCAAGGACCGACUUGAGACCUCAUUCGAUCACGUAUGGAAUGCAGCAAGAACAAAGAGAGCCGGAAAAUCAUCACGUUUACCCUUUUGGUAACUGAUUCAGAAUGAUGCUAAUAGCUGCGUCUGCUCAUUGAUACUGCAUUCAUACUGUGUUGUCGUAUGUCUACUGGAUUAUCGGGGUGAUCAGACUAGCCAUCAUUUUCUUAUUGAGGAUCUUAGCAUGUUGGUCUUAUUCCUGAUCCGGAUCUGCACCAUGGAAUCAAGUUCCGGUCUGAACUUAUUCAUCAGUGCUUGAUUAAGCUGACAUGACUCGUCUCUACCCUCGCACCCCAUGUAAUGUAUUGUUCGCAGUAUGCGGCAACUGGGUCGAUUUUCAGAUCAAUAGACCUCACCUCACGUGCUGCAUACA
rnacentral:lncRNA from 1 species